rnacentral:rRNA from 1 species
AUUCCGCCUGGGAAGUACGGACCGGCAAGGUUAAAACUACUAAAGGAAUUGACGGGGGCCCGGCACAAGCGGUGGGAGCAUGUGGUUUAAUUCGAUGCAACGCGAAGAACCUUACCUGGGCUUGACAUGUCCGGAAUCCUGCAGAGAUGCGGGAGUGCCCUUCGGGGAAUCGGAACACAGGUGCUGCAUGGCUGUCGUCAGCUCGUGUCGUGAGAUGUUGGGUUAAGUCCCGCAACGAGCGCAACCCUUGUCCUUAGUUGCCAGCGGUUCGGCCGGGGCACUCUAGGGAGACUGCCGGUGACAAACCGGAGGAAGGUGGGGAUGACGUCAAGUCCUCAUGGCCUUUAUGUCCA